AUGUGCCAACGUACAUUCCGUUCCUCCGCGCCGUCCACACCCACCUGACGACUGCUCGCUACGUUUUGUCAGCC
rnacentral:sRNA from 1 species